AUACGGAGGGGGUUAGCGUUGUUCGGAAUUACUGGGCGUAAAGCGCACGUAGGCGGACUGGAAAGUUGGGGGUGAAAUCCCGGGGCUCAACCCCGGAACUGCCUCCAAAACUUCCAAUCUAGAGAUCGAGAGAGGUGAGUGGAAUUCCAAGUGUAGAGGUGAAAUUCGUAGAUAUUUGGAGGAACACCAGUGGCGAAGGCGGCUCACUGGCUCGAUACUGACGCUGAGGUGCGAAAGCGUGGGGAGCAAACAGGAUUAGAUACCCUAGUAGUAC
rnacentral:rRNA from 1 species